rnacentral:rRNA from 1 species
UACGGGGGGGGCAAGCGUUGUUCGGAAUUGCUGGGCGUAAAGGGCUCGUAGGUGGCCAACUAAGUCAGACGUGAAAUCCCUCGGCUUAACCGGGGAACUGCAUCUGAUACUGGAUGGCUUGAGUUCGGGAGAGGGAUGCGGAAUUCCAGGUGUAGCGGUGAAAUGCGUAGAUAUCUGGAGGAACACCGGUGGCGAAGGCGGCAUCCUGGACCAACACUGACGCUGAGGAGCGAAAGCCAGGGGAGCAAACGGG